UAAACUAGGAUUAGAUACCCUAUUAUUUUAGAUGUAAAAUUUAUAAUACUGAAUUAGUAGUAGUUAUUUUCUUGAAAAUUAAAAAAUUUGGCGGUAUUUUAGUCUUUUCAGAGGAAUCUGUCCUGUAAUUGAUAGUCCACGAUUAAAUUUACUUUAUUUAUUAGUUUACAUAUCAUCGUAGUUUGAAUAUUUUAAUAGAAAUUUAAUAUUCAAGAUUUUAAAUUAAAAAAUAAAUCAGAUCAAGGUGUAGUUUAUAGUAAAGAAGAGAUGGAUUACAAUAAAUUUAUUUAAGAAUAAUUUUUUAUAAAAAAAAUUUGAAUAUGGAUUUGAUAGUAAUUGAAAAUAUAUUUUUAAAAUGAUUAUAGCUCUA
rnacentral:rRNA from 1 species